GCGCCCGUAGCUCAGUUGGAUAGAGUGUUGGUUUCCGAAGCCGAAGGUCACAGGUUCAACUCCUGUCGGGCGCGCCA
rnacentral:tRNA from 1 species